rnacentral:rRNA from 1 species
CCUACGGGCGGCAGCAGUGAGGAAUAUUGGUCAAUGGCCGGAAGGCUGAACCAGCCAUGCCGCGUGAAGGUCAGUGCCCUAUGGGCGUUAAACUUCUUUUGUGCGGGAGCAAUAAUGGUCACGUGUGGCCAGACGAGAGUACCGUACGAAUAAGCAUCGGCUAACUUCGGGCCAGCAGCCGCGGUAAUACGGGGGAUGCAAGCGUUAUCCGGAGUUAUUGGGGUUAAAGGGUGCGGAGGUGGGGAGGUAAGUCAGCGGUGGAAUGCACCCGGUCAACGGGGUGAAGUGCCAUUGAUACGGUCUUGCUGGAGUGCGGGUGCCGUGGGAGGAAUGUGUGGUGUAGCGGUGAAAUGCAUAGAUAUCACGCAGAACACCGAUUGCGAAGGCAUCUCACGAAUCCGCGAUUGACGCUGAUGCACGAAAGCGUGGGGAUCAAACAGGAUUAGAUACCCCUGUAGUC